AAUAUUUCACAAUGGAGGAAACUCUGAUGCAGCGACGCCGCGUGAACGAUGAAGGCUUUCGGGUCGUAAAGUUCUGUCGUAGGGGACGAUAAUGACGGUACCCUAGGAGGCAUGCCCGGCUAGCUACGUGCCAGCAGCCGCGGUACUACGGAGGGGCCGAGUGUUGUCCGGAAUUAUUGGGCGUUAAGGGUUCGCAGGCGGUCUGUUAAGUCAGAUGAGACAGAUCGCGGCUCAACCGUGGUAAGCAUUUGAAACUGGGGGACGUGAGUUAUGGAGGGGAAAGUGAAAUUCCUAGUGUAGCGGUGAAAUGCGUAGAUAUUAGGAGGAAUACCAGUGGCGAAGGCGACUUUCUGGACAUAUACUGACGCUGAGGAACGAAAGCGUGGGGAGCAAAC
rnacentral:rRNA from 1 species